CAUCCCGCCGCUGGACAAUCUGAGCCGCGUGACAGUCCCGCAUCGCCGCUCGCCAAAAUCAACCGCCUUGCCCAUCGCGCCGCGCCCCACGCCCUUCCCUUCGCCGCGCCGCCGCGUGACUCCCCCACCCCAACGCAGAGCCGCCGCCGCCAAGCACGCCGCAGAUCCGCUAUCUCCCCGCCGCGACUCGUGCCGUGGUGCCGCCGCCGCGGAUCCGCGACCUCCCCGUCCCGACUCCCGCAGCGGCUGCGGAGCCACCGCCGCCACGGCCAAUGCGCGGGCCCCACCCUGCCGCGGAGCCGCCGCCGCCUGACUCCCGCCGCGGCUGACGGUUCCCCUGCCGCGCGUUACCUCCAUGGAGCCGGGUCGUCCCGACGCACGAGCACCGCCACCGUAAACCAUCGACGCGGCUGCCCCAUCGUGCCAUCGACGCCGCACUCCCCUCGCGCGGAGCUGCCUCCGCCCCGUCACCCGGAGUGUCGCGCGAACACGCCGCCGCCGCCAUCCAUCGUCCCAUCGCGCGAACACGCCGGAUCCGCUGCCGUUCGUCGUCCCCAUCGCGCGAACAUGCCGAGCAGAUGGCUCGAUCGUCGACCGGCUGCGCCGUCCCCUACCCCCUAUCUUUCCCCCAACGAGGCACCCACGUAAGAACCAUGGCUGCCUCUGUGCGUGUGCAGGCACCCACAAAGCCAUGGCUGCCAUGAAGGAUUCAGAACUCGGAGGCAAAUCAGGUAUCCAGGUUGGUCACGGCAAGGGCAUGGCUAGGGGAAGAAAGGGAAAAAAUGGAGAGGAAUAAAAUAUCAUGAUCUAUAGUGAAACAAAAUAAUUUCUGUCAUUUAAGGUUGGCUUAUGAUGGAAAAUUAGGGGUAAUUUGAUCUAAAAGUCUUUCUAUUCACAAGGAUAGCUGCACUAAAAUAUUUUAAGACAGCAGUUCUGAUGGAUUUUUGGUCAAACAGUUUCAUGGUAUUACAUGGUAUACUAAUACUCUGAUUUGUUAGAAUAGUAUGCAUAGUAGUAGAGAUUUUGAUGUGAUCUAGGGCAUGGGUUGACCAAUUAUUGUGAAUAUACCAUAGGUUGUUGUAAAACAUUUUCUAUUCGACUAUUGGAGGACAUUGCAAUAAGUCACUUGGUCGGCUAACUUUGCCUUUCAUGGGGCUCUAGAGAUAUGAAAUAGUGAAGCUCGUCAAAUGAUGAAAGCAAAUAAUAAAUCAGGAAAUGCAACUAUGGAAGAGCAAUGGUUUCAUUUAUUCUGUUAUUUUUUUCUUUCAAAAUAGCGUCAGGUCAAAGCAACCGGUGAGCAAGCACAAUUGGGGAGCCAAAUUUACAUUCUGCAUUUCACUUUUACCAUAUUGACUUAUGCUUAUUUUUGCUGUGAUAUGCUCUGCAGUAAAAGCUAGAAUGUUUUUUAUGUCUGCUACAGUGCAUUCAUUUUAAUUGCCAUUCGUGUGUUACAAUUUUUGGUACAGUGAUGUCCAUGCUCUAUUUAUGUAGGUACACUGAAACUAAUUAGUCCAAGUAGAGAGAUGGUAAAUCAGUUUAACAUCUGAAAUAGUUGCAGAACUACUAAACUAAGUUUAAUAUCUUUCAAAAUUAUUUGGUGAUCUGCACCUUUCUGGUAUCUCAAGCAUAAACACAAAUGUGCAUAAGUAUCAGUGGUUAUUUACUCUAAUAACUAAGCUAAUUCUUUUCAUGUGAUUUGAGUUGAAUAAUGAUAUGGUUUCUCAAUUUUUACUAUAAUCAUUAAAGUCGAAUCAAGUUGUGGUAUAUUUAUGGACUUUGUUCCUUGAGUCAAUAACUAAGGAUCUUGACAAAUGCAGGGGGAAAAAUUUAGUUACCCUUUCAGCUCAUGAGGGCAAACGGAGUAGCGGUAGAGGCAGGACCACUCCUACAGCACAUAUCUGGUGUGGGUGCCAUAGUGUAGAUAUGUGCAACUCAGAGCUAGGUUGUUACAAAUGUUGAUACAUUAAUACAACUAUAUUCUCCAGUUAUUCUAUUCGGCCCUGAGCCCCUGACCCACCAUGCUUGUUCUGAUUGCCAAAACCAAUCAUAAUAGCUUAAAGUGUCAUUCAUCACUGGUUCUGUAGUCGGUGUGAUAAUAACUUAAGCUUGCUAUGAUUAAAGAUUGCAUUUAGAAAUGAACCUGUAGGUGAAGUUUUAUCUGCCUAAGGUUUAAGUGUGCAUAUUCAAAAUAACCAGUAACUUGACUUCUAAUUGUUAUAUCUGGAGUACUCGCAUGUCAACCAACGGCAGGUAUGAUGUUAUCACCGCUGUUGAUUCUCAUUCUCUGUGAUAAAAUAACUUAGAUAAGCCGUGCAUAUCAAAACAACUUAGAUAAGAUGUAUGAUGCUCGGGAAAUCGACUGCCUCUUUUAUUUAGUGCUAAAAUUUGAGUAAUGCUUGCCCAACAACGCCAAUGGGAAAGUGAUGAAUCCAGUUUGGGUUUUUUAACCAUAUUAUUAGGUACACUGAGAUAGUUUUAUGUGAAGCUUUGUCUAACAACUUGAAUAUAUGUGCAGAAGUUAUUCUAUACAGAGGGGCUGUAGAGCACAUUGACAACACACUGAUUUCCAGUGCACAAAGGUUUAAGCUUUGUUUUCCUAAUUAGGCUUUGUUUUCCUAAUAGACCGGAAAUGCCCUUUGAUUAUUUGUGUUUGUCCCUAUAUGUUUGUCGAUGAUUUAAUCCAUUUGUCUGUCCGGGUCCUGUAAAAAUAUUAUAUAGAUCAUAUCUGUAUGUGUGCUUGUGUUUUCACCUUGCUAAAGUACUACUGUAAGUACUACGCUAUUUAUUUAUGAGAUUAAAAGCUCUUGGACUAUUUCAUCGCACGA